UACGUAGGGUGCAAGCGUUGUCCGGAAUUAUUGGGCGUAAAGAGCUCGUAGGCGGUUCGUCGCGUCGGCUGUGAAAACCCGGAGCUCAACUCCGGGCCUGCAGUCGAUACGGGCGGACUCGAGUUCGGCAGGGGAGACUGGAAUUCCUGGUGUAGCGGUGAAAUGCGCAGAUAUCAGGAGGAACACCGGUGGCGAAGGCGGUUCUCUGGGCAUUACCUGACGCUGAGGAGCGAAAGUGUGGGGAGCGAACAGG
rnacentral:rRNA from 1 species